GCAAUCUGCCCUUCACUCUGGGACAAGCCCUGGAAACGGGGUCUAAUACCGGAUAACACUCUGUCCCGCAUGGGACGGGGUUAAAAGCUCCGGCGGUGAAGGAUGAGCCCGCGGCCUAUCAGCUUGUUGGUGGGGUAAUGGCCUACCAAGGCGACGACGGGUAGCCGGCCUGAGAGGGCGACCGGCCACACUGGGACUGAGACACGGCCCAGACUCCUACGGGAGGCAGCAGUGGGGAAUAUUGCACAAUGGGCGAAAGCCUGAUGCAGCGACGCCGCGUGAGGGAUGACGGCCUUCGGGUUGUAAACCUCUUUCAGCAGGGAAGAAGCGAAAGUGACGGUACCUGCAGAAGAAGCGCCGGCUAACUACGUGCCAGCAGCCGCGGUAAUACGUAGGGCGCAAGCGUUGUCCGGAAUUAUUGGGCGUAAAGAGCUCGUAGGCGGCUUGUCACGUCGGAUGUGAAAGCCCGGGGCUUAACCCCGGGUCUGCAUUCGAUACGGGCUAGCUAGAGUGUGGUAGGGGAGAUCGGAAUUCCUGGUGUAGCGGUGAAAUGCGCAGAUAUCAGGAGGAACACCGGUGGCGAAGGCGGAUCUCUGGGCCAUUACUGACGCUGAGGAGCGAAAGCGUGGGGAGCGAACAGGAUUAGAUACCCUGGUAGUCCACGCCGUAAACGUUGGGAACUAGGUGUUGGCGACAUUCCACGUCGUCGGUGCCGCAGCUAACGCAUUAAGUUCCCCGCCUGGGGAGUACGGCCGCAAGGCUAAAANUCAAAGGAAUUGACGGGGGCCCGCACAAGCAGCGGAGCAUGUGGCUUAAUUCGACGCAACGCGNNGAACNUU
rnacentral:rRNA from 1 species